rnacentral:tRNA from 1 species
GUCCCUGUAGCUCAGCUGGAUAGAGCGACCGCCUCCUAAGCGGUAGGCCGGAGGUUCAAAUCCUCUCAGGGAUGCCA